rnacentral:rRNA from 1 species
AACGCUAGCUACAGGCUUAACACAUGCAAGUCGCGGGGCAGCAUUUCCUUAGCUUGCUAAGGAAGAUGGCGACCGGCGCACGGGUGAGUAACGCGUAUCCAACCUUCCCAUGUCCACGGGAUAGCCCGUCGAAAGGCGGAUUAAUACCGUAUGAGGUCACAUGCGGGCAUCUAAGUGUGACGAAAGGUUUUGCGGACAUGGAUGGGGAUGCGUCCGAUUAGCUAGUUGGCGGGGUAACGGCCCACCAAGGCGACGAUCGGUAGGGGUUCUGAGAGGAAGGUCCCCCACAUUGGAACUGAGACACGGUCCAAACUCCUACGGGAGGCAGCAGUGAGGAAUAUUGGUCAAUGGGCGUAAGCCUGAACCAGCCAAGUAGCGUGCAGGAUGACGGCCCUAUGGGUUGUAAACUGCUUUUAUGCGGGGAUAAAGUGUGGGACGUGUCCCAUUUUGUAGGUACCGCAUGAAUAAGGACCGGCUAAUUCCGUGCCAGCAGCCGCGGUAAUACGGAAGGUCCGGGCGUUAUCCGGAUUUAUUGGGUUUAAAGGGAGCGUAGGCCGUCGUUUAAGCGUGUUGUGAAAUGCCGCGGCUCAACCGUGGCACUGCAGCGCGAACUGGAUGACUUGAGUUCGCGGGAGGUAGGCGGAAUUCGUGGUGUAGCGGUGAAA